UUGCAAUGAUGUUUUGAAUUUCUUCACCUGAACCCAGCAGUGAAGAGCAAAACGAGCUUUUUAACACUGAGCAAU
ensembl:snoRNA SNORD36 Small nucleolar RNA SNORD36